AUGCCGGCUAAGUGAAUUUCUUGCCACAGUCUUAGCCUAAUUCACAAGGCUGGGCAAUACUUUCGCUUGCGCCGGCUA
rfam:Pristionchus pacificus strain PS312 contig11084, whole genome shotgun sequence.